rnacentral:rRNA from 1 species
UACGUAGGGUGCAAGCGUUAAUCGGAAUUACUGGGCGUAAAGCGUGCGCAGGCGGUUUCGUAAGUCUGUCGUGAAAUCCCCGGGCUUAACCUGGGAAUGGCGAUGGAGACUGCGAGGCUAGAGUUUGGCAGAGGGGGGUAGAAUUCCACGUGUAGCAGUGAAAUGCGUAGAGAUGUGGAGGAACACCGAUGGCGAAGGCAGCCCCCUGGGUCAAAACUGUCGCUCAUGCACGAAAGCGUGGGGAGCAAACAGG